ACUUGAGUCCAUAUGAAUUUUUAUUAACACACAUUUUUCAAAGUCUGUACAAACCAAAACAUUCCUGUGUUUUAAAAUGUCCAUUAUUACAAACAUACAAAUAAACAAAAGGUGUUACCAAAAGUUAGCUACUCAAUUUUAUGGUAAAACAGUAUCAUGAUUUUUAAAAACCAAAAUUUCAAGACAGAGGUUUCUUCCUUCUCUUUUUGGAACUCGUGGAAAGUUAGAAAAUGUAUGGAUUUGCUUUAUAUUAAAUGCCAAGACCUUAAAAAAAGAUUUAGUAUAAAACUAAAUAUGUUUUUACAUUGUCACUUCAGGUAACAGAAUUUCUCAAGUCAUCUGAAGGAAGCCACUCAUUUCCAUGUCUCUGUCCAAUUAAGUGCAUGGCUCCACUCGUGAGAAUGUUCACCAAUUAGAAGCCUUUGCUCCUGGAAAAUGCCUAGUAAGUUAAACUUACUGCUGCACUUCUGGUAGUCUGAGGUACAAAUGUCAUCUGCCCUUAUGAUUACCUCUAACUCCAGUAUCGCCCCCUGCGUUAAAGGAUUCCAAAGUAGCUGGUUUUACUGUUUCAUGGCACACCACACAUCUCUAAUUUCUUUCACAAACAUCACA
rnacentral:lncRNA from 1 species